rnacentral:rRNA from 1 species
GACGAACGCUGGCGGCGUGCUUAACACAUGCAAGUCGAACGGAAAGGCCCUGCUUUUGUGGGGUGCUCGAGUGGCGAACGGGUGAGUAACACGUGAGUAACCUGCCCUUGACUUUGGGAUAACUUCAGGAAACUGGGGCUAAUACCGGAUAGGAGCUCCUGCUGCAUGGUGGGGGUUGGAAAGUUUCGGCGGUUGGGGAUGGACUCGCGGCUUAUCAGCUUGUUGGUGGGUAGUGGCUUACCAAGGCUUUGACGGGUAGCCGGCCUGAGAGGGUGACCGGCCACAUUGGGACUGAGAUACGGCCCAGACUCCUACGGGAGGCAGCAGUGGGGAAUAUUGCACAAUGGGCGGAAGCCUGAUGCAGCAACGCCGCGUGCGGGAUGACGGCCUUCGGGUUGUAAACCGCUUUCGCCUGUGACGAAGCGUGAGUGACGGUAAUGGGUAAAGAAGCACCGGCUAACUACGU